AAGUCGAACGAUGAGAGGGAGCUUGCUCCCUGGAUUAGUGGCGAACGGGUGAGUAACACGUGAGUAACCUGCCCUUGACUCUGGGAUAAGCACUGGAAACGGUGUCUAAUACCGGAUACGAACUUCAGCCGCAUGGCUAGGAGUUGGAAAGAAUUUCGGUCAAGGAUGGACUCGCGGCCUAUCAGCUAGUUGGUGAGGUAAUGGCCCACCAAGGCGACGACGGGUAGCCGGCCUGAGAGGGUGACCGGCCACACUGGGACUGAGACACGGCCCAGACUCCUACGGGAGGCAGCAGUGGGGAAUAUUGCACAAUGGGCGCAAGCCUGAUGCAGCAACGCCGCGUGAGGGACGACGGCCUUCGGGUUGUAAACCUCUUUUAGUAGGGAAGAAGCAAAGUGUUUUACAUGGAGUGACGGUACCUGCAGAAAAAGCACCGGCUAACUACGUGCCAGCAGCCGCGGUAAUACGUAGGGUGCAAGCGUUAUCCGGAAUUAUUGGGCGUAAAGAGCUCGUAGGCGGUUUGUCGCGUCUGCUGUGAAAACUGGGGGCUCAACCCCCAGCCUGCAGUGGGUACGGGCAGACUAGAGUGCGGUAGGGGAGAUUGGAAUUCCUGGUGUAGCGGUGGAAUGCGCAGAUAUCAGGAGGAACACCAAUGGCGAAGGCAGAUCUCUGGGCCGUAACUGACGCUGAGGAGCGAAAGCAUGGGGAG
rnacentral:rRNA from 1 species